GACGAACGCUGGCGGCGUGCUUAACACAUGCAAGUCGAGCGGUAAGGCCCUUUCGGGGGUACACGAGCGGCGAACGGGUGAGUAACACGUGGGUGACCUGCCCUCAGCUCUGGGAUAAGCCUGGGAAACCGGGUCUAAUACUGGAUAUGACUCCAUGACGCAUGUUGUGGGGUGGAAAGCCUUGUGCGGCUGAGGAUGGGCCCGCGGCCUAUCAGCUUGUUGGUGGGGUGANGGCCUACCAAGGCGACGACGGGUAGCCGGCCUGAGAGGGCGACCGGCCACACUGGGACUGAGACACGGCCCAGACUCCUACGGGAGGCAGCAGUGGGGAAUCUUGCGCAAUGGGCGAAAGCCUGACGCAGCGACGCCGCGUGAGGGAUGACGGCCUCGGUGUAACGU
rnacentral:rRNA from 1 species